CUGGAAAGCAUUGAUGUAAAUCCAGUGAACUGCUCUGGGCUUAUCUGACUCCAGUCAGAGUAAAUUCAGUGUCAGGAUACCCAGUGAAUCUGUAGAUACAAUUGACUCCCUGGCUUCUAUCCCUGAAGAUAUUUUUCAGAUGAUGAGGUCGAGCUUAUUCCCAUGCAAGUCCAGUUGCAUAAGAGUCCUAUCUCUUUUUCAUCCUAGAUUUUUUUAUGCGGCUAAGAGCCAGGAGCUGGAAUCAAUAAUCCCCGGAGGUCCCUCCAACUCAGGAUAUUCUAUGGUAUCUAUUUUCUUCUAACAAUCAAUGAGAAUUUUGCAUGAAGUGCAGCAAAAACUCUGAUCUUCUUGAAUGGAAAUCAUUGGUCCCUACAGAGGAGAAGAAGAGGAAGGAGGAUCUUUUAAAGUGACAGCUGAUUUCUGCAAUCUAUUAAUGAUUCCCUUGGAGAGUUUUUGAAAGUGUCCUGGAGACAAAUGAAUAAAAAUUACAGCAUCAAUAAUUUUCUUUGGGAA
rnacentral:lncRNA from 1 species